rnacentral:rRNA from 1 species
GAUAAAAAUUUAUGAUUUUUAGAAUUUAUUUUUAAUUUAUUUUACAUACAAAUUUUAGUAUUAAUUUUUAAUUAUUUUAAUAAUUUUUAAUUAUUUUAAGUAGUAAAUAAAAUUAAAAAUUUAAGAAAUUAAGAUUUAGUAAUAUUAAAAUUAUUAACUAAUUUUGUGCCAGCAGUUGCGGUUAUACAUAAAAUAAAAUAAAUUUUUUCAGUAUAU